GUUGAGGGGAUCUGAAUUUAGAACGUGGAAUUUUUUCCUCAAGUUUUUAUUUUUGUUGAGAAGGCUCUUCUUUUUUUUAAUUCCCUCAUACGAUAUUUAUGAAAGGCUCCUUUGAAGUUGGGGAUUUGAAUUUAUAAUUUGGAUUUUCUCCUAAUGAGACCUUGUAAACAAUUGAUGUUUACGUUAGCAAUAUUAAAUUUUUAGUUUCCCAUGUCUUCUUAUUAUAGCAGUCUUCUCUUGAAGAAGAAUAAAAUGUAUUUCAAUAGAAAAGUGACUGGAUUCUAGAGUAUUUUAUUAGUGGAGAUGUUAUAAACAACAUAGUAGAGAACAGCAGCAGCAGCAGCCAUGUCCAAGCAAGAUGUUGUACAUAAUAUACAACAACAGCAACAAUAACUGUGUAUAGGAUGCUUAAGUAUUAUGGCUGAUACGUAAAGAAAUAAAUAAAGAAAAACAAAUAUCAGCAGUUCUUAUCAUACCAAAAAA